UACAGAGGGGGCCAGCGUUAUUCGGAAUUACUGGGCGUAAAGGCUCGUAGGCGGCCAACUAAGUCACACGUGAAAUCCCUCGGCUUAACCGGGGAACUGCGUCUGAUACUGGAUGGCUUGAGAUUGGGAGAGGGAUGCGGAAUUCCAGGUGUAGCGGUGAAAUGCGUAGAUAUCUGGAGGAACACCGGUGGCGAAGGCGGCAUCCUGGACCAACACUGACGCUGAGGAGCGAAAGCCAGGGGAGCAAACGGG
rnacentral:rRNA from 1 species